UUCUGGUUGACCCGCCGGACCUGACUGCUAUCGGAUUGAUACUAAGCCAUGCGAGUCAUUGUAGUAAUACAAGGCAUACGGCUCAGUAACGCGUAGUCAACCUAACCUAUGGACGGGAAUAACCUCGGGAAACUGAGUAUAAUGCCCGAUAGAACAUUAUGCCUGGAAUGGUUUAUGUUCCAAAUGAUUUAUCGCCGUAGGAUGGGACUGCGGCCUAUCAGUUUGUUGGUGAGGUAAUGGCCCACCAAGACUAUUACAGGUACGGGCUCUGAGAGGAGUAGCCCGGAGAUGGGUACUGAGACACGGACCCAGGCCCUAUGGGGCGCAGCAGGCGAGAAAACUUUGCAAUGUGCGAAAGCACGACGAGGUUAAUCCGAGUGGUUUCUGCUAAAGGAACCUUUUGUUAGUCCUAGAAACACUAACGAAUAAGGGGUGGGCAAGUUCUGGUGUCAGCCGCCGCGGUAAAACCAGCACCUCAAGUGGUCAGGAUGAUUAUUGGGCCUAAAGCAUCCGUAGCCGGAUCUGUAAGUUUUCGGUUAAAUCUGUACGCUCAACGUACAGGCUGCCGGGAAUACUGCAGAUCUAGGGAGUGGGAGAGGUAGACGGUACUCGGGAGGAAGGGGUAAAAUCCUUUGAUCUCUCGAUGACCACCUGUGGCGAAGGCGGUCUACCAGAACACGUCCGACGGUGAGGGAUGAAAGCUGGGGGAGCAAACCGGAUUAGAUACCCGGGUAGUCCCAGCUGUAAACUAUGCAAACUCAGUGAUGCAUUGACUUGUGGUCAAUGCAGUGCUGCAGGGAAGCCGUUAAGUUUGCCGCCUGGGAAGUACGUACGCAAGUAUGAAACUUAAAGGAAUUGGCGGGGGAGCACCACAAGGGGUGAAGCCUGCGGUUCAAUUGGAUUCAACGCCGGG
rnacentral:rRNA from 1 species